rnacentral:lncRNA from 1 species
UAACUUUAGUCCUAGUUUUUAUAUUUUUUUAUAUUUUAAUAUAUAUAUAUAUAUAUAUAUAUAUACGCUUCCAACACGUACAAGCUUCCUAUUUUUUUUAAGUCUCGAUUCCGCGCUUCCAUACGUUUCCGCUUCCACGUUUCCGCUUCCACGUACCCGCUUCCACGUACCCGCUUCCGUUUCUAUGCAACAUAGAGUAUAACAAAAUAAUUGUAUUAUUGUAUGCGGUAUUAUUUAUUAGAAAAACUUAAAUCAUCAGUAACUAAUAACUUAGUUGAACAUUAACAUUUCAACAUCUUCACCAACAAAAUUGAACAAAUACUGAGAACAAUGUAAAUCAGAAUGAAGGACCAUCUUACCAUCAACAAUAUUUAAAAUUUUUACAUAUAAAGAUACAAUUUUAUCAUGUAGGACUAUAAGUUUUUCUUCUGUAGUAGUAGAUUCUAUUGAUGUAGAUUUAUAUCAAUAAAUUGCAAAGCACUAAAUAUAAAACUCUAGAAAAAUUGAUCUCCAAAACUAAUAUUUUUUCCAAUUGGGUUUUUUUUUCUGCUGUAACUUUAAAUUGUUUUUAAAACAAG